UACGUAGGGUGCGAGCGUUGUCCGGAAUUAUUGGGCGUAAAGAGCUCGUAGGCGGUCUGUCGCGUCGGUCGUGAAAACCUGCAGCUUAACUGUAGGCGUGCGGUCGAUACGGGCAUGACUGGAGUUCGGCAGGGGAGACUGGAAUUCCUGGUGUAGCGGUGAAAUGCGCAGAUAUCAGGAGGAACACCGGUGGCGAAGGCGGGUCUCUGGGCCGAUACUGACGCUGAACAGCGAAAGCCAGGGAGCAAACGGG
rnacentral:rRNA from 1 species